AGGGUCCUGAAUAAAGUCUCUCGUCAGAGAAACAGGUCUGCUUUUGUCAAUAUGGCAUUUCAGGAAUGUGUGCCCACAGGACCCCUUGCUCAUCCCUUUUAAAUGUCGGUUUAACAGCAAUGACCCUGUCAAGCGAGUAUUUUCCAGAGGCCCAGCCGAGCAAGUGUGUAAGGUUGUGAAUAGCUGUCCAGGACCCAGGAACACCCCACGGAAAAGUGGGGCAAAGCUUGGGACCCACAGUCCGAAGAUAAGAACUCUGUGUAACCGAUGAGUCAUUGUAAGAGCAUGUUGAGGACUCAAGGCUGGGGACUGUGACAGCCUUUUCAUCUUUCAAACAUGGCCCAGCUGCAGUGACAGACCCUCCAGUGACAUCCCACUGCCUGGCUUGAGCUCCCACAGGAGGAGCUCCCACACUUCCCCUUAAGCAUCCUAAAACCAAGGAAAGGAGCCCUUCGGCGACAAAGAACGAAGAGGAACUUUGCGCUAAAAAUCACUUGGUUGGCUCAACGUCUUUCUCAACAACAGCCAGUAGGUCGGUUGACUUGUACUUCCCGAAGAUCUGAAUAGAACUGAAAGAUGAAAGGCCAGGUUGCCAUCUGAUCACCACGUACGCUUCUCUCUGACAAGCUCACGGUUCCCUCCCGUCUGAUUUAUUAUGCUCCUUGGCUUUGCGGCAACAUUUCACAAACUCAUCGAUACAGAAAUUCCCGAGACACUCAUGUUCAUGGCCAAACCAGGGAACUGGUGAUGGGUUGACCCACACCAGCUCCAGGGUCUUGCUCACUUCCCAUAGAAGAUACCAACCAUGGGGUAGCCUCAUCUUAUCAGCAAUUCCGAGGGGACCACGGUGCAGUCGACAGCAAGAUGGCAGAGUCCUGGUUGUCCCUGUGUCAGGUUGACCUCCUAAGAGCUUGCAGGGGAGAUGGCUUUGAAAUCCUUGAAUGAGUUCAUGCUCUUUUCUUGAAAUACACUGAAUUCUGGUAACUUCCUAGAGUGCCGUGUCCCUGCCUUAUGCUGGUUUCCCUUGUGGCCCCAUGAGCCCCUUGCAUGGAUUUGAGUAUCCUGGGUGUUGAGUUCAUUGUUGCAUCUUGGCUCAACAUCCUAGACCAGGAGCCAAGGAAAAAGGUCUUUGGAUACUUCUUGCUGAGUCCUGUUUCUCAUCCCCGGUACACAAAGGUGAGGGUGAGGGGUGGGACACUGAAAACUAAGCAGACUGCUCAUUGGUGUCACUUUUGUACUGUUUUUCAUCUUUCUGGGGACAAAAGUGUCUGUUCCAAAGGGACAGAAUGGGAAAUUUGACUAAAAGUUUUAAAAUUCAAACCCAGGGAUGCCUGGGUGGCUCAGUCAGUUAAGCGUCCGACUUUGGAUUUCGGCUCAGGUCAUGAUCUCACGGUUCGUGAGUGUGAGCCCUGCAUGGGUCUCUGCAUUGACAGCAUGGAGCCUGCUUGGGAUUCUCUCUCCUCCUCUCUUUCUGCCCCUCCCCUGAUCGCCCGAGUGUGUGCUCUGUCUUUCUCAAAAUAAAUAAAUAAACCAAAAACAGGUAGAGAGAUACUGGCUGUUGGAUGGUUCUAGAACAGAUUCUGAGAAGGGACUAAGGAUAGGGAGGGAGAGGGGCUGUCUGGCACGGACUCCUCGUGGCCACUUUCCUUCAGGCUCUUCCUGGACCUCCACACAUACAGAGGGACUCACAGGCUGAAAGAUCACCAUACUCCCCUCCUCAAAUGCCUGCUUUCUGCUGGAGCCCCCUGCUCGGCUCUCAGCACUCUCCACCCCACCAUUCAUUACCUUGUCUCCUGACUCAUUUUCUUCAGAGCACUUAUCACGAAUCACAAGCCAUGAUUGUCUUGCUUUCCUGCUUCUUUUCUACUCCAAGCCUCAGGGGUCUGCCUUCUUUAUUCUUUAUUUAAUCCUCGUGUCCAGUACAGUGCCUGGCUUAACUCCAAAACGACUCGUUGAAUACAUGCAACUUGCAUAGGAGACAUGGCACAAGGGGCUAGGACUUGGACACUGAAGAGGUCAGAUCAGUUCAAGUGCUCAGUAA